UACAGAGGGGGCAAGCGUUAUUCGGAAUUAUUGGGCGUAAAGGGCGCGUAGGCGGCCAUUCAAGUGACGGGUGAAAGCCCUCGGCUUAACCGAGGAACUGCCUGUCAGACUGGAUGGCUUGAGACCGGGAGAGGUGAGUGGAAUUCCCGGUGUAGUGGUGAAAUGCGUAGAGAUCGGGAGGAACACCAGUAGCGAAGGCGGCCGGCUGGGCCGACCCUGACGCUGAGGCGCGAAGGCGUGGGGAGCGAACGGG
rnacentral:rRNA from 1 species